CGUCAUCUACUAGUCCUCCUGCAGGUCUAGUCACCUACUGGUCCUCCUGCAGGUCUAGUCACCUACUAGUCCUCCUGCAGGUCUAGUCAUCUACUGGUCCUCCUGCAGGUCUAGUCAUCUACUGGUCCUCCUGCAGGUCUAGUCAUCUACUGGUCCUCCUGCAGGUCUAGUCACCUACUGGUCCUCCUGCAGGUCUAGUCACCUACUAGUCCUCCUGCAGGUCUAGUCAUCUACUGGUCCUCCUGCAGGUCUAGUCAUCUACUGGUCCUCCUGCAGGUCUAGUCAUCUACUGGUCCUCCUGCUGGUCUAGUCAUCUACUGGUCCUCUUGCAGGUCUAGUCAUCUACUGGUCCUCCUGCAGGUCUAGUCAUCUACUGGUCCUCCUGCAGGUCUAGUCAUCUACUGGUCCUCCUGCAGGUCUAGUCAUCUACUGGUCCUCUUGCAGGUUUAGUCAUCUACUGGUCCUCCUGCUGGUCUAGUCAUCUACUGGUCCUCUUGCAGGUCUAGUCAUCUACUGGUCCUCCUGCAGGUCUAGUCAUCUACUGGUCCUCUUGCAGGUCUAGUCAUCUACUGGUCCUCCUGCUGGUCUAGUCAUCUACUGGUCCUCCUGCAGGUCUAGUCAUCUACUGGUCCUCCUGCAGGUCUAGUCACCUACUGGUCCUCCUGCUGGUCUAGUCAUCUACUAGUCCUCCUGCAGGUUUAGUCAUCUACUGGUCCUCCUGCUGGUCUAGUCAUCUACUAGUCCUCCUGCAGGUCUAGUCAUCUACUGGUCCUCUUGCAGGUUUAGUCAUCUACUGGUCCUCCUGCUGGUCUAGUCAUCUACUGGUCCUCCUGCAGGUUUAGUCAUCUACUGGUCCUCCUGCUGGUCUAGUCAUCUACUAGUCCUCCUGCAGGUUUAGUCAUCUACUAGUCCUCCUGCAGGUUUAGUCAUCUACUGGUCCUCCUGCUGGUCUAGUCAUCUACUGGUCCUCUUGCAGGUUUAGUCAUCUACUGGUCCUCCUGCUGGUCUAGUCAUCUACUGGUCCUAUUGCAGGUCUAGUCAUCUACUGGUCCUCCUGCAGGUCUAGUCAUCUACUGGUCCUCCUGCAGGUCUAGUCAUCUACUGGUCCUCCUGCAGGUCUAGUCAUCUACUGGUCCUCC